rnacentral:rRNA from 1 species
UGCCAGCAGCCGCGGUAAUACGAAGGGGGCUAGCGUUGUUCGGAAUUACUGGGCGUAAAGCGCGCGUAGGCGGUUUUACAAGCCAGAGGUGAAAUGCCUGAGCUCAACUUAGGAAUUGCCUUUGGAACUGUAUGGCUUUGAGGACGAGAGAGGUGAGUGGAAUUCCCAGUGUAGAGGUGAAAUUCGUAGAUAUUGGGAAGAACACCGGUAGCGAAGGCGGCUCACUGGCUCGUUACUGACGCUGUAGCGCGAAAGCGUGGGGAUCAAACAGGAUUAGAUACCCUGGUAGUCC